rnacentral:rRNA from 1 species
GGCUUCCGCCCCGCUGACGAGUGGCGAACGGGUGAGUAAUGCGUCGGAACGCCCCGAGUAAUGGGGGAUAACGCAGCGAAAGCUGUGCUAAUACCGCAUACGCUCCGAGGAGGAAAGCAGGGGAUCGUAAGACCUUGCGUUAUUCGAGCGGCCGACGUCUGAUUAGCUAGUUGGUGGGGUAAAGGCCCACCAAGGCGACGAUCAGUAGCGGGUCUGAGAGGAUGAUCCGCCACACUGGGACUGAGACACGGCCCAGACUCCUACGGGAGGCAGCAGUGGGGAAUUUUGGACAAUGGGCGCAAGCCUGAUCCAGCCAUGCCGCGUGUCUGAAGAAGGCCUUCGGGUUGUAAAGGACUUUUGUCCGGGAGCAAAUGCCGGUGGCUAAUAUCCACUGGAGCUG